GCCAGAGUGGCGAAAUUGGUAGACGCAGGGGAUUCAAAAUCCCCCGGUGGCGACACCGUGCCGGUUCGAGUCCGGCCUCUGGUACCA
rnacentral:tRNA from 1 species